UGAACCACUGAUUGAGCACCUGGAGGAAAGACCCAGUCAGCCCUGGGAGCACAAGUGAAGGCAAUUCAGUGUGUGACAGGAAGGGCUGGAGCCUGGCUCCACCUCUCUUAGGCCUCAUUGAAGGGCUGACGGCCCCUGAGGAAGGAUCUCUUUCUGGAGAUCCCUCCUUGGUGGAAGCCUUUCCCUGUGAACCUUGGAUCUUCUGAUGUGGAGUUGCAAGCGACCGAUGGAUGGCAGCUGUGGCCCACCUACCAAGUGGCACCUACCAAGUGGCUUCUUCUCCUGGAGAAACUGGCAGCCUGUGGCUUGGACAGUUGGGGAUGGGGAUGCGGAAGGCAGGACCGCCAGUUCCCACCUCGCACAGGACACCGGCAGCGGUACGGCCUGCCUGGAAGUGACGAGCUGUCUCCUUCCCUCCAGGAUCAGUAGAAGCUACCAGGCCGGUGUUACAGAAAAGGAGGCGGCUGACAGCAGAAGGUGUUGAAACUCCUGAAGCCUGGAGAGUGAUGAUGUGUCUCAAGUCUGGGCUGCUCGCUGAAAGCACGUGGGCCUUAGAUACCAUAACCAUCCUGCUCUGUGAUGACAGCAGCAUCGCAUCCUUUGACCUCCGGCAGCUGCCAGGCCUGCUGGAACUCCUGGUGGAGUAUUUCCGGCGCUGCCAGAUGGAGAUCUUUGGAAUCCUGAAGGAGUACGAGGUGGGAGAGCCAGGGCAAAGAACACCCUGUGAGUUGGAGGGCGGCCUCCUGCACUGGCAGAUUGGUGGCGGAGAUACCACAGAGGACUUCCAGACCCACUGUGAGAGCAAGGGGGUGCGCUCUGUGGCUAAGAGCAAUCAAAAUGCUAGGGAAGGGGAGGCUCCUCCGUCUGACAGCUCCUCAACAAGUCUGGAGGACGAACCUUGCCGUAAAGAUGAGACACCCCUCUGCCCCAUCCAUGAGUGAUAGGACUCUCUGGCAAAGCGCUGCCUGUGUGUCUCCAACAUCAUCAGGAGUUUGUCGUUUAUGCCGAGUAAUGAUGCUGAGCUGUCGAAACACGCCGGGCUGCUGCUGAUUCUGGGGAAACUGCUGCUCUUACACCACGAGCACCCGGAGCGCGAGCAGGCACCUCUGAGCUCUGUGAGAGAGGAGGAGCGGGACCAGGGUGUGAGCUGCAACAUGGAGGAGUGGUGGUGGGACUGCCUGCAGGUGCUGUGUGAAAAUACACUGGUCACGUUGGCCAGAAUUUCUGACCAGCUGGACCUGUCCCCUUUCCCAGAAAGCCUCUGUCUGCCGAUCCUGGUUGGACUCCUCCACUGGGCAGUGUGUCCGUCAGCAGAGGUCCAGGACCUCUUUCCAGCGCUGGGGCCGAAUGCAGUCCUCUCCCCUCAGAGACUGGUUUUGGAAACACUCAGCAAACUCCGCACCCGGGACAGCAACGUGGAUUUGAUUCUUGCAGCUCCCCGUCAGCCACCUGGAGAGGCUGUACAGCGCCCUGCUGCGUUUCCUUUGCGACAGAAAGUACCCGGUGUGCCGAGAGAUGGCUGUGGUCCUACUGGCCAGCUUGGCACUGGGGGCCAGCCUGGCAGCAAGGGCGAUUGCUGCGCAGAAGGGGAGCGUUGGCAACUUGCUGGGCUUCUUGGAAGACGACCUGGCUGCCGCACAGUGCCAGCAGAGCCAGGCCAGCUUGGUGCACGUGUGGAAUGCACCCUGGGAACCGACGAGCGUGGACGUGAUGCGCCCAGCUGCUCGGGCGCUACACAGAGGACUUCUUUAUUUCAUUUUAACCGAAGUUACUGUCGCUUACAAUGAGUCUGGGUAGAGCGACUUUCCCCCUUUCCCCACCCCUUUCUAGGAGGACGAGUUAACGAGCUGAUGACCUGCAAAGCGAGAUGCAGUUAUUUAAUCUCUUUCCGGACACCCCUCCCUGGGGGAUGCUGUACAGAUCUCUGUGUUUUCAGUCAUUGCUGUCCCAGCAGCCAA